rnacentral:tRNA from 1 species
GGUGAGGUGGCUGAGUGGUCGAAAGCAACACAUUGCUAACGUGUCGUCCGAGCAAUCGGACCGAGGGUUCGAAUCCCUCCCUCACCG